GACAGAGGCCUCGAGCGUUAGGCGGAAUCACUGGGCUUAAAGCGUGUGUAGGCGGGCCCGUAAGUGUCUUGUGAAAUCCCACGGCUUAACCGUGGAACUGCUUGGUAUACUGGCUGUCUUGAGCCACUUAGGGGCGACCGGAACAAACGGUGGAGCGGUGAAAUGCGUAGAUAUCGUUUGGAACGCCAAAGGUGAAAACAGGUCGCUGGGAGUGUGCUGACGCUGAGACACGAAAGCCAGGGGAGCAAACGGG
rnacentral:rRNA from 1 species